GCAUCGGUGGUUUAGUGGUAAAAUUAGCCGUUGCCAUCGGCUAGCCCCGGGUUCGAUUCGUAAGUUUAUCCG